UUACGUUUUUGGCGAGAUAAU
rnacentral:snRNA from 1 species